UACAGAGGGGGCAAGCGUUGUUCGGAAUUACUGGGCGUAAAGGGCGCGUAGGCGGCCGCCUAAGUCAGACGUGAAAUCCCUCGGCUUAACCGGGGAACUGCAUCUGAUACUGGAUGGCUUGAGAUUGGGAGAGGGAUGCGGAAUUCCAGGUGUAGCGGUGAAAUGCGCAGAUAUCAGGAGGAACACCAAUAGCGAAGGCGGCAUCCUGGACCAUUACUGACGCUGAGGCGCGAAAGCUAGGGGAGCAAACGGG
rnacentral:rRNA from 1 species